rnacentral:rRNA from 1 species
AUGGACCUCGCCGUCGGGGCCAACCACUGGGGCGGCGGAGCAAGCUCCCAUGUCUGGACGGGAGGGAGAGUAGAGGAAGAUCUGGUCUGGUCCGACCGGGUUGGUCGGUUGACCAGGUGCGAUUUUUUUAGUUUUGACGAAUUUGCAAAAGAAACCCUCAAAUGCCUACGUAUUAAUGUUGUUGCGACGACGUGGCCAGUCAACGCCAAGUGGAUCCAGUCGACCGCCGCCAAAUCAACGAAUACAUACACAAAAUUGUAUAAUGGACCGUGUGCGACCCACCAGAGCAAGUUUAGGAAUGGUAUUUCGGGUAUUUCUAACCACAGGGACUAA